AUAUAAAUUUUAAAUUUAAUUUCAGUUGCACUAAAACAUUUACAAGAUCCAGGGAAUGCAAAACAAGCUUAUGAACAAGCAAUUCGUUUCGAUCAGAAUGACCCUAUUAUUCAACUUAAUUAUGCUGUUUUCUUACACGGAAUCGGAGAGCAGAAAGCUGCUAUUACUCAGUUGCAAGAAUUUCAACAAUGUUGGACAAAAAUCCAAAAAUCUUCGGGAGGUGACAUGAAUGAUAAUCUUCUAGCAACAGCAACAAAGUUAGCAAAGGCUUUACAAAUAAAUGAAAAUUUAACAAGCGAUCCACAAACAGAAGUAAAAUCCGUCCAGCCGCAGCCAUCAGAAGAAAAUCCAAAAUGAUACAUUAGUUACUGCAGCAUUUCUAAAUUAUUAUUUUAUUAUAUUAUCAUCUAAAUAUCUAUUGUAUUUUUGUAAAAUAAUGCAAAAGAAGAUAACUUGCUUAAGUAUAGAUAUAUUUA